GACAGAGGGCCCGAGCGUUAGGCGGAAUCACUGGGCUUAAAGCGUGUGUAGGCGGACUUCUAAGUACCUUGUGAAAUCCCACGGCUCACCCGUGGAACCGCUGGGUAUACUGGGGGUCUUGGGCCAUUCAGGGGCGACUGGAACAAGCGGUGGAGCGGUGAAAUGCGUAGAUAUCGCUUGGAACGCCGACGGUGAAAACAGGUCGCUGGGAAUGUGCCGACGCUGAGACACGAAAGCCAGGGGAGCAAACGGG
rnacentral:rRNA from 1 species